CGAGCCUCCUGUGUCACGUGUUGACACCCACCACACCUGGAACCCUGCCAGCGUUCCCAGGAGCCGCAGGACCCCAGAGAUGUUCCCAGCUGCAUGAUCCCGGGCAUCAGCUGAGGGCAAGUCAUCCUCUCUAAGGCUUUGAGUUGUGCAGGCUCCUUGGCUGCCUCAGCACCUCCCUCAAAGCAAAGUCCUCCCACCUUGGAGUUCAGCCCAUCAAGCCUUCCACCUACCCAGCUGCCUCAGUCACCAUCAGAGUCCAUGUCUGAAUAUCACCACCACUGGCUGGAUUGUUCUGAAUAUUCUCUAAUCUAACCUCAUUCCCACCCAUCUCCAUCCUCCCAAAUUAUUCCAAAAUGUCCCUUUGCAAUUCAUAGUUCAUCAUCAAUAAAGUCCCAGUGUAUCUUCAACCUCUCACCUAAAUAUUCCAUUCCGCUUCUUGCUCUAACUCGGGAGUUGGAAAACAUUUUUUUGUAAUGGGCCAGAUAGUAAAUAUUUUAGGCUUUGCAGGCCACAU
rnacentral:lncRNA from 10 species